GUAGGUGGCAAGCGUUGUCCGGAAUUAUUGGGCGUAAGGCGCGCGCAGGCGGGUCCUUUAAGUCUGAUGUGAAAGCCCACGGGCUCAACCGUGGAGGGUCAUUGGAAACUGGGGGACUUGAGUACAGAAGAGGAAAGCGGAAUUCCAAGUGUAGCGGCGAAAUGCGUAGAGAUUUGGAGGAACACCAGUGGCGAAGGCGGCUUUCUGGUCUGUAACUGACGCUGAGGCGCGAAAGCGUGGGGAGCAAACAGGAUUAGAUACCCUGGUAGUCCACGCCGUAAACGAUGAGUGCUAAGUGUUAGGGGGUUUCCGCCCCUUAGUGCUGCAGCUAACGCAUUAAGCACUCCGCCUGGGGAGUACGGCCGCAAAGGCUG
rnacentral:rRNA from 1 species